GGCUCGGUGGUGGAUGAUUCAUGUCUGCUCUCUUUAUGUGCGUGAGAAAAAUGUUAGCCAGCAGGAGUAGCCUGUUCGAAUCAGGCCCGAGCCA